rnacentral:misc_RNA from 1 species
AAGUCGUAACAAGGUCUCCGUUGGUGAACCAGCGGAGGGAUCAUUACCGAGUUUACAACUCCCAAACCCCUGUGAACAUACCUUAAUGUUGCCUCGGCGGAUCAGCCCGCCGGAGGACCAACCAAAACUCUUAUUGUAUACCCCCUCGCGGGUUUUUUUAUAAUCUGAGCCUUCUCGGCGCCUCUCGUAGGCGUUUCGAAAAUGAAUCAAAACUUUCAACAACGGAUCUCUUGGUUCUG